UACGUAGGAUGCAAGCGUUGUCCGGAAUCACUGGGCGUAAAGGGCGCGUAGGUGGCGCGGGCAGUCAACGGUGAAAGUUCGGGGCUCAACCCUGAAUCGGCCGUCGAUACUCCCGGGCUUGAGCACUGUAGAGGCAGAUGGAAUUCCGGGUGUAGCGGUGGAAUGCGUAGAGAUCCGGAAGAACACCGGUGGCGAAGGCGGUCUGCUGGGCAGUAGCUGACACUGAGGCGCGACAGCGUGGGGAGCAAACAGG
rnacentral:rRNA from 1 species